rnacentral:rRNA from 1 species
AUCAUUGAGUCAGGCUGGGGUGGGUGGAGUGGCAACCAAACACGCACCAAACGUUCGCUCGCUGGAGGCCGGAAAAAAAGGCGAUCAGUUCCGCUUCUCCACGACCAUCGGUCGCCGCAGCCAUAGCCGUUCACCACCGCCGCCGCCGCCGCCGCCGCCUCUACUCUACUCCCAUAAAACAAAAGCGUCCCCAGAAGCCAAACCUUUCGCUUCGACCCGCGGCGCCCUAGAAAAGCCGAACCCAACCCUAACCCUAGCCCGAGGGCUCCUCGCCGGUGUCGGCGAUGGAGAUUACUGAGUCGGAGCCGGCACCGGAGCUUCCCGCGGAGGAGGAGAUGGCGCUCAUCCGAGAUAUCACCGCCGCCGCGGAGGCCCACGCCAAGGAGGGUGACAUCUUCUUCCUCAUCACAAACAGGUGGUGGCAAAGUUGGAUUGACUAUGUUAUUCAUGAUUUGGCUGGUGUACCAAGUAAUGGUUCUCAUCAUCAUGAGUUCGGUUCAAAUACUCCUAGAAGGCCAGGAGCUAUUGACAAUACAAAUUUGUUGGAUGACAUGGCAUCUGAAGUCUCCGACAUACAGAUUGAGCUACAUGAUACUUUGGUUGAAGGCCGUGAUUAUAUAUUGCUCCCUCAGCAAGUCUGGGAAAAACUGCAUAGUUGGUAUGGUGGAGGGCCAACACUACCAAGAAAGGCAAUCAAUACUGGCUUGUCUCAAACUGAUCUAGCCAUAGAAGUUUAUCCUCUACGUCUGCAGUUACUUCUGAUGCCGAAAGGAGAGCAAGCUGUAGUAAGGAUAAGCAAGAGGGUUACAGUUGAUGAGCUCCGUAAGAAGGCGUGUGAGGUUUUUGAUUUGGUACCAGAUGAGGUGUGCAUCUGGGACUACUAUGGUCGAACAAAGCAUGCUUUGAUGGAUAACUUGGAGAAAACUCUUGAUGAUGCCAACAUUCAAAUGGAUCAAGAUAUUCUCGUUGAAGUCACCACUGAUGCAAAUGGUAGUUUGGAUGGUGCGUGCAUGAGUUCAAUCCAAGAAGAUUAUUUUGGAAGCACAUCAACUUAUUUGAUGACAAAUGCUUCAAAAUCAGGAUGCUUGAAUGAGAAUUUAGCAUCACUCUGUUAUGGUUCCAGAAGCUACAGCUCGAGUCUCAUGCAAAGCCAGUACCUGCGCUCUUCCAGUGGUGACUUGGAUAAUGUUCCUGGUACUGUUGGUAUGACCACCAGGGGAUCUCCGUCAGGUCUUACUGGGCUACUUAACUUGGGAAACACAUGUUUCAUGAACAGUGCUGUACAAUGUCUUGUGCACACACCAGAGUUUGCUAGAUAUUUUCGUGAAGAUUACCACUGUGAAAUUAAUUGGCACAAUCCUCUGGGUAUGGUGGGUGAACUUGCAUUAGCUUUUGGAGAGCUACUGAGAAAACUUUGGGCUCCUAGCCGUACGCCAGUGUCUCCACGACCAUUCAAAACAAAGUUGUCUCGGUUUGCACCUCAGUUCAGUGGAUACAACCAACACGAUUCACAGGAGCUGUUGGCAUUCCUCCUGGAUGGACUGCAUGAAGACUUGAACCGUGUGAAACAUAGACCUUACUUAAAAUCCAAAGAUGCUGAGGGACGAUCAGAUGAAGAGGUUGCUGAUGAGUAUUGGGCAAAUCACAUUGCCAGAAACGAUUCUAUCAUUGUUGAUGUAUGCCAGGGGCAGUACAAGUCAACUUUGGUCUGUCCAGUAUGUGGAAAGGUUUCAGUGACAUUUGACCCAUUCAUGUAUCUUUCCUUACCUCUACAAUUUGCUUCAACACGGAGCAUGACUGUUGUCGUUUUCACUUGUGAUGGGAGUGCUCCACCAAUACCAUACACUGUAAGUGUACCCAAGCAAGGUAGGUGCAGGGACCUUAUCCAAGCACUCAGCAACGCAUGCUCGCUUAGGAAUGAAGAGAGACUUCUAAUCGCCGAGAUACGUAGUCAUAGGAUCCAUCUUAUUCUCGAGGAUCCAGUGCUCCAGCUUUCUACAAUUAAAGAUGAUGAUCACCUGGCAGUUUAUAGGCUUCCAAGAUUGGAAAAAAGGGCAAGUUAUGUUCAAUUUGUUCAUCGCCGUGAAGACUUGGACCUUGGAAACAAUAGCAGCUCAACCUCUUGGAAGCCAUAUGGUGUUCCUCUUCUUGCACAAAUAUCUCGCAAUGAAACUGUCACCGGUUCUGAUAUCCAUGAGAUGGCCCGUAAAAUGCUUGUGCCCAUGUUCAGAAAUCAUGUGGCACAACAUUCGGCAGUUCAAAGUUCUCUUUCCACAAGAACACAAAGCUAUCACACCGACAGCAGCAAAUUUCAGCUACAGUUGAUUGAUGAUAGCAACACAGUGAUUGAGCAAACUGAUUAUGCUAUCAGGGUUCCGCAGUCUUCGGUUGCAACUGUUAUUUUUGUCAACUGGUCCAAGUUAGAUCUUAAAAAGUUGAACACUAACCAUUUGGAGCACCUUCCAGAGGUGUUUAAGUAUGCUCCUCCCGCCAAGAGAACCCGUGGUGAACCUCUCUCACUCUAUGCAUGCUUGGAUGCUUUCUUGAGAGAAGAACCACUUGUUCCUGAAGAAAUGUGCUCUUGGAUGAGAACAGGUGGUACAAUUUUGAUGAUAGCCAUGUUUCUGCCAUCAAUGAGGAAGAAGUGAAGUCAGGUGCAGCUUACGUGCUGUUCUACAGAAGAGUUGGAGAAGCAGAUGGAGCAGCAAGCAAUGGAACCCAGUCAUGUGUGAAACGAAGCCGCAGAUCUAGCCAAAGAUAAUCUGAGUUGUUGCAUAGCUUCGCAAGUUUAGAAGAACCCUUUUGGGUCCUUUUUUGUGUGUGGAAUUGCAAGGUUUCGGUGUGAGACCAUAGGAUAUUGCGGCUAUACAGCUUGGACGGAAAAGGUGCGAGGAAUACCAUUAGAAGUUGGCUGUAUCAAUACAGAUGGGGAAUGAUGAGAACAUAGGGAAUGGUUAACUAGGUGGAUAUUGCUGCGGCUAUAUAGCUUGGACAGAGCGUAGGUUUGCUUGCCAUUUUCAUCUUUCUAGUUCUGCCUAGAAGAGAAAUAAAAGGGGUCCAUUAGGUUACACCGUUUUGUUUAAGUUGAUUGGAGUUUUGUACUCCCUCCGUUCCUAAAUACAAGUCUUUCAAGAGAUUCCUAUAAGUCUUUCAAGAGAUUCCAAUACAGACUACAUACGGAGCAAAAUGACUGAAUGUAUGUAGUCAUUUAUUGAAAUAUCUAAAGAGACUUAUACUCCCUCUGUAAAAAUAUAUAAGAGUGUUUAGAUCACUAUUUUAGUGAUCUAAACGCUCUUAUAUUUGUUUACGGAGGGAGUAUUUAGGAACGGAGGGAGUAUUUCAUAGUUAUAUGCACGUAGCUAGCGUACACCUUACUGGUUUUAUGAUCAAUGCUAUGCCACCGGACAUUGUUUUACCUGUGUCAUGCUAGUUUGAGGUGGCUAUCUAUACAGACUUUUUUUUGAUCUGUCUGGAAUCGUGAAUUUGCCAUGGAGAAGUCGAUGCAUUACUCUUAUCUUUUUUCUUUUACUCUUGACUUAUUAUUAUCUAGUCC